AGAACCUGAAACCGUGUACGUACAAGCAGUAGGAGCACCUUCGUGGUGUGACUGCGUACCUUUUGUAUAAUGGGUCAGCGACUUAUAUUCAGUGGCAAGGUUAACCGUAUAGGGGAGCCGUAGCGAAAGCGAGUCUUAACUGGGCGCUCAGUCUCUGGAUAUAGACCCGAAACCGGGUGAUCUAGCCAUGGGCAGGUUGAAGGUUGAGUAACAUCAACUGGAGGACCGAACCGACUAAUGUUGAAAAAUUAGCGGAUGACUUGUGGCUAGGGGUGAAAGGCCAAUCAAACUCGGAGAUAGCUGGUUCUCCCCGAAAGCUAUUUAGGUAGCGCCUCGGACGAAUACUACUGGGGGUAGAGCACUGUUAAGGCUAGGGGGUCAUCCCGACUUACCAACCCUUUGCAAACUCCGAAUACCAGUAAGUACUAUCCGGGAGACACACGGCGGGUGCUAACGUCCGUCGUGGAGAGGGAAACAACCCAGACCGCCAGCUAAGGUCCCAAAGUAUUGCUAAGUGGGAAACGAUGUGGGAAGGCUCAGACAGCUAGGAUGUUGGCUUAGAAGCAGCCAUCAUUUAAAGAAAGCGUAAUAGCUCACUAGUCGAGUCGGCCUGCGCGGAAGAUGUAACGGGGCUAAGCAAUACACCGAAGCUGCGGCAAUGUCUUUUAGACAUUGGGUAGGGGAGCGUUCUGUAAGCCGUUGAAGGUGAAUCGUAAGGUUUGCUGGAGGUAUCAGAAGUGCGAAUGCUGACAUGAGUAACGACAAAGGGGGUGAAAAACCUCCUCGCCGGAAGACCAAGGGUUCCUGUCCAACGUUAAUCGGGGCAGGGUGAGUCGACCCCUAAGGUGAGGCCGAAAGGCGUAAUCGAUGGGAAACGGGUUAAUAUUCCCGUACUUCUGACUAUUGCGAUGGGGGGACGGAGAAGGCUAGGUGGGCCAGGCGACGGUUGUCCUGGUUCAAGUGCGUAGGCUUGAGAGUUAGGUAAAUCCGGCUCUCUCUAAGGCUGAGACACGACGUCGAGCUACUACGGUAGUGAAGUCAUUGAUGCCAUGCUUCCAGGAAAAGCCUCUAAGCUUCAGAUAGUCAGGAAUCGUACCCCAAACCGACACAGGUGGUCGGGUAGAGAAUACCAAGGCGCUUGAGAGAACUCGGGUGAAGGAACUAGGCAAAAUGGUACCGUAACUUCGGGAGAAGGUACGCUCUUGAUGGUGAAGUCCCUCGCGGAUGGAGCUGACGAGAGUCGCAGAUACCAGGUGGCUGCAACUGUUUAUUAAAAACACAGCACUGUGCAAAAUCGCAAGAUGACGUAUACGGUGUGACGCCUGCCCGGUGCCGGAAGGUUAAUUGAUGGGGUUAGCGCAAGCGAAGCUCUUGAUCGAAGCCCCGGUAAACGGCGGCCGUAACUAUAACGGUCCUAAGGUAGCGAAAUUCCUUGUCGGGUAAGUUCCGACCUGCACGAAUGGCGUAAUGAUGGCCACGCUGUCUCCACCCGAGACUCAGUGAAAUUGAAAUCGCUGUGAAGAUGCAGUGUACCCGCGGCUAGACGGAAAGACCCCGUGAACCUUUACUACAGCUUGGCACUGAACAUUGAACCUACAUGUGUAGGAUAGGUGGGAGGCUAUGAAGACGUGACGCCAGUUGCGUUGGAGCCGUCCUUGAAAUACCACCCUUGUAUGUUUGAUGUUCUAACUUAGACCCAUUAUC
rnacentral:rRNA from 1 species